rnacentral:tRNA from 1 species
GCCUGAGUGGCUCAGAUGGUUAAGCGUCUGACUUCAGCUCAGGUUAUGAUCCCAGGGUUCUGGGAUCGAGCCCCACGUCAGGCU